ACUACGGGUGGCAGCAGUGGGGGAUAUUGCACAAUGGGGGAAACCCUGAUGCAGCGACGCCGCGUGUGGGAAGACGGUCCUCUGGAUUGUAAACCACUGUCCCCAGGGACGAAGAUGACGGUACCUGGGGAGGAAGCUCCGGCUAACUACGUGCCAGCAGCCGCGGUAAUACAUAGGGAGCGAGCGUUGUCCGGAAUUACUGGGUGUAAAGGGAGCGUAGGCGGGACUGCAAGUUGGGUGUCAAAUCUACCGGCUCAACCGGUAGCCGCACUCAAAACUGCAGUUCUUGAGUGAAGUAGAGGCAGGCGGAAUUCCUAGUGUAGCGGUGAAAUGCGUAGAUAUUAGGAGGAACACCAGUGGCGAAGGCGGCCUGCUGGGCUUUUACUGACGCUGAGGCUCGAAAGUGUGGGGAGCAAACAGGAUUAGAUACCCGGGUAGUC
rnacentral:rRNA from 1 species